rnacentral:rRNA from 1 species
GACAGCAGUAGCCGCGGUAAUACGUAGGUGGCAAGCGUUGUCCGGAAUUAUUGGGCGUAAAGCGCGCGCAGGCGGAUAGGUCAGUCUGUCUUAAAAGUUCGGGGCUUAACCCCGUGAUGAGAUGGAAACUGCCAAUCUAGAGUAUCGGAGAGGAAAGUGGAAUUCCUAGUGUAGCGGUGAAAUGCGUAGAUAUUAGGAAGAACACCAGUGGCGAAGGCGACUUUCUGGACGAAAACUGACGCUGAGGCGCGAAAGCCAGGGGAGCGAACGGGAUUAGAUACCCCAGUAGUCCCUGUCUCUUAUACC